AUUGAACGCUGGCGGCAGGCUUAACACAUGCAAGUCGAGCGGGGGAGGUUACUUCGGUAACUGACCUAGCGGCGGACGGGUGAGUAAUGCUUAGGAAUCUGCCUAUUAGUGGGGGACAACAUUCCGAAAGGAAUGCUAAUACCGCAUACGCCCUACGGGGGAAAGCAGGGGAUCUUCGGACCUUGCGCUAAUAGAUGAGCCUAAGUCGGAUUAGCUAGUUGGUGGGGUAAAGGCCUACCAAGGCGACGAUCUGUAGCGGGUCUGAGAGGAUGAUCCGCCACACUGGGACUGAGACACGGCCCAGACUCCUACGGGAGGCAGCAGUGGGGAAUAUUGGACAAUGGGCGGAAGCCUGAUCCAGCCAUGCCGCGUGUGUGAAGAAGGCCUUUUGGUUGUAAAGCACUUUAAGCGAGGAGGAGGCUCCUUUAGUUAAUACCUAAAGUGAGUGGA
rnacentral:rRNA from 1 species